AUGCUCACUUCUGCAGCACAUACGCUAAAAUUGUAAUGAUACAGAGAAGAUUAGCAUGGCCCCUGUGCAAGGAUGACAUGCAAAUUCACGAAGCGUUCCAUAUUUUU